UGGAGCGGGUGCAUGAUCGCUCCGGCCUCAGUGCCGGAGAGGAAAGUCCGAACUCCACCGGGCAGGAUGGUUCGUAACGCGAACGCUGGGUGACCGGCGGAAAGUGCCACAGAAAACAAACCGCCCGAGCAAUCGGGUAAGGGUGAAACGGCGAGGUAAGAGCUCACCGCUUCCCUGGUGACAGGGAAGGCACGGCAAACCCCAUCCGGAGCAAGACCAAAUAGGGAGAUGUUUGAGGGCGGCCCGUCCGAGAUCUCCGGGUAGGUUGCACGAGGUGUCGGGUGACCGGCAUCCCAGUCAAAUGAUCAUGACCCUUGCGGGAACAGAAUUCGGCUUAUAGCCCGCUCCGCCUU
rnacentral:RNase_P_RNA from 2 species